GACGUAGGGGGCAAGCGUUAUUCGGAAUUAUUGGGCGUAAAGAGCUCGUAGGCGGUUUGUCGCGUCUGCUGUGAAAACCCGGGGCUCAACCCCGGGCCUGCAGUCGAUACGGGCAGACUAGAGUGCGGUAGGGGAGACUGGAAUUCCUGGUGUAGCGGUGAAAUGCGCAGAUAUCAGGAGGAACACCGGUGGCGAAGGCGGGUCUCUGGGCCGAUACUGACGCUGAGGAGCGAAAGCGUGGGGAGCGAACAGG
rnacentral:rRNA from 1 species